UCUGAUGUAAACAAUCUCCUCAACGAGAAGUCCUUGUCUCCUGAAUUAAACCUGUUUAUUCCCUUCGUGCCCUCAGCUCAGUGAGCAGGGGGCAGGCAGCGGUUGCCGUGGGCUCGGACCCACGCAGGGGCCCACCCGUGCCCCCACCCCACUCCCGCUCCCGUGGACAGGCAGGCCGCGGUGGGGAGCACUGGACGGGAAGAAGCGUGGCUGGAUGGGGCUCAUCACUCUGCUGUCUGGCACCCUCUGAGGCCGGAGGCAGCUGGAGGUAAAUAUUAGGGCCUGUUUAGAUUAAAGUCCAUUAAUAGCAGAAAAUGUCUCUGCGGCGCCUGCCCCCAGCUUCCUGGGGCCUCUGGUGCCUGGGGCAGGCGUGGAGGGCCCUGUGGGUGAUGGAUGUCCCCCCUGACGCCCGGGAUCAGACCCUGCACUCCCGGGCCCUCUGCCUUCUCCCCUCCCUCCCCUCCUCUGGAGGCAGCACACCCCCACCAACCCACCGACAGGGUCUGUGCACCCAAUUCACAGAGGAGGAAACUGAGGCUUGGAGCUGUAAUGGAACUAGCAUUCUCCACCCAGUCCUGCCUGGUUCCGGGGCCAAGGCCACCCCCACCCUCUGACCGUGGCAGGAGCCAGGAGAGCUGUGAAAGGAGGGUGUGGCCUGGCACAGGAGGGAGGAGGAGAGCCGGCCAAAAAGUGGACCGGAGAGGGAAAGAGGGGGGGCAGGCCUGGGGAAACAGCUCCCCCAGCCUCACUCUCCCUGCCGUGUCAUGUCACCACGCUGCCCCCCAUUUCCACGUGACCACCUGCCCCUCGGAGCCUCCCCAGACCUCCCCGUCAGGCCCCUCCCCCACGCUGGCAGCCUCUCCCCCAUCGGGCUCCCUUUUUUUUCAGUGUCUGCCCAGCACCAGCCGGGACUGUCCACCUCUCAGGUCCCUUCCCCUCCUCUGGCCCUGGGGCCAGCCUGCCGGAAUCCCUACCAUGCCUCCCUAAGACAGACCACAUGGCCCAGCCAUCCCUCAGGACGGGGCCCCUCCCCGACCAUCAGGCUUGGCCCCUUGCUGAGCCCUCAGGGACACUGCAGCCCCCACCCCCUUCCUGGGAGUCCAAAGCCUGGUGGCACAGCUGGGGUGCUCCGCGUCCUCUACCGCUGCAAGUGGGACCAGCCAGGCAGGGGCAUCCAGGAGGGCUUUCUGGAAGAGGAAGCUCCGGGCCCUUCCCUCCCCAUCCUCACCUGGCCCACCUGGCUCCCCCCUACUCCUGGCUGGGCCUCUCCUUGAGGUUGUGGUACCAGGAGCUUUUCAAGCAUCGAGUACCCCCGGAGCCUCGGCAGGCUGGUGGGGCCAGGACAUUUCACCCCCAUGUUGCAGAUGAAGAGACAGGCCCAGCGGGUGAGGGGACACAAGCCCACACACUGGGACCACGCUCAGUGCUCUGAGCCCAGCUCUCCGCCCCCCCCCCAACCCCCACACCAGCUCCGGGCCCCCUCUCAGCCUCGGCCCCACUGUCCGUGAGCAGGAGCCUCCCGCCCAGACGGCAGGUGCCCCAGGCCAGACAGUGCCCUGGCCCUGCUCCAGAGGCGGCGUAGGAGGAGCUGGGGAGCCUGGCAAGAGCAAGGCCACGCGGGCAGGUAUGGGAGCAGCUCCCGAGGCCCGAGCACUAGAGGCCCACGCGGAGGGUGUCACAGCCCAGCCCGGACCAGGACACGCCUCCCGGGUCAGGGCCCAGGCAGGCAACCCGCGUCCCAGCCAGGCCAGGUCCCUUCGGCCGCAUCGGCUUCCCCAACCUUGCGUGAGCCAUGUGCCGUUCUGGCCUCAGUUUCCUCUUCUGUCAAGGGGGUAAUUGACACCCUCUACCUUUAGGUGCAGUUGUGAGAAUGAAACGCUAACGUGCGUGUUAUGUGUUCAUGUGUGUGUGUAUACGUGUGUGCUGUGUUAUGUGUUUGUACAUGUGCGUGUACAUGUGUGUGUGUUGUGUAUUUACAUGCGUGCAUGUUACAUGUGUGCUGCAUGUACGUAUAUGCGUGUGCACGUAUUUGUAUAGUGUGUGUGCGAGUGUUGUGUGUCUACGUGUAUGUGCGUAACUGCACGUAUGUGUGUGUUCAUUUCUUCCCAUGGUGCUCAGCACUCCCCGACUAGUGAUUAAAUUAAGCUCAUGAAGGACGUGAGGCCUCCCCCAGGAAGGCUCCAGCACAUUCUUUCACUCCACAGCGUCCUGCCCCUUCCCUGCGCCACAGGUAAUCUGCGGGUUUCUCUCCCUACAGGACACCUGCCCUGCCCCCCGCCCCCCGCCCCCAUUCUUCUGGGUUAAGCCCUAUCCUUGAGCCUCCCCGGGACACGCACACGUGGUAGGCAGGGGAGCAGUGAGAAAGGCUCAGGGAUCAGGGGGCACAUCCUGGGCUCAGGCCUGGGGGCGGGAUUCCCCCCUGGGUUCUGCCAGGGGUCUUGAGUGAGCCCCUCCCAGACUGGCCCCAGCUCCUCCAGUGGAUCCGCUGGGAACGCCAGAGGGACAAGUGUGUAUGGGGCCUGGGGCCACCAGGUGGCGCUGCUGGCCCGGGAGAGGCAGCCGAGGUGUCCACCACCCGCUGGACCGGGGCGGGCCGGCAGCGACCCUCCGGAUUCACCUCUGCCACCUGACCUUCAGAGGGACGGCCCCAGAGUCGGCAACACUGGAAGGCUGCCUGGAGGGGCUGCAGCUUCCUGACCCAGCCGGGGAGAAGCUCGGCACUGAGUCGAGAAGCCCCUGGUCCCUCUGACUCGGGCACCUUCCAGGAAGCCCCUCGCCCCGGUCCCCGAUCUCCCUACCUAACACAGGGGAGGCUAGGUGAGGGGGCCACAGAGGGGACAGGGCGGCUGCUGAGCCAGCACCUCCCCACCCCCCCACCCCCCCGCAGGGAGGGGGCUGUGUCUCUAGGACACGCAGGAUGGUAGGCUCUGUGGGCCUGGCCCCCGUUCCCCAGACACUGCGUCCUCUCCCUGCUACACAGCCUGCAUCCCGCCCGUGAUUCAGGGGAGCUGAACCUCCUAAGGCCAUACGUGGUCCCCAGGCCAGGAGCCUCAUUCACUAUCUCGUGAGUCCAGAGAGGGCCAGACAGCUGCCCUGAGUCACACAGCCUGGCAGUGGAGCCCGCUGUGUGGGCGGGAGAGAGAAACACACCCGAGGGCUGGGAUGUCCUGACAAGCAGUACUGUGCUUUUCCAACCGCAGCGUUGGCAACGCCCCAAAGCCAGGCCGCGAGGAAGCGGGAGACAGACAGACAGAUGGAUGCCGGGGGAGACUGGGCUGGAUAGAAGUUACUCAGGGCUCCCCGGCCUCUCCAGUCAGGCGGAGGGGGACAGACCCUGUCUACUGGACACAGGGAGACAGCGCCCGGCAGCCCCCGGCCCGACAGCCGGGCUGGCACCGUCUCCGUCUGCCCACCACCCGUCUACACCGCGGUCUGCACUGGGCCAGGCGGCAGCCCCCACCUCAGCUCAGCUGUGGUGGGCAGCCUGGCCCGAGUGGGGCAGGCACAAGGCCAGCUCCGGCCAGCUCUGCCCAGCGCCUGGAUUCCUGGAGAGGCCCGCUAACUCCUUAGGUUGUUGCAAUGAAAAUGCAGGGAGAGGGGCACACCUUGAACUUACAACCACUCACCCGUCGGUGAGAAUGGUCCGUCGAUCAGUCAUUCAACAAGCAUUUACGGGGACCUGCUCUGCCACCUGGCGUAAGAUUGGAGGAUGCCGCAAGGAGUGAGGCACAGUCCCCGCCUUGGUCCCUGUCUCUAAUCCAGCGUGGCAAGGUCCUGGCAGCGGUCCACACUGCCGGAGGGCUGGGGCAGGCUUUCCAGAGGAAGUCACGCUUAGCUGGGUUUUGAAGGACGAAUAGGAGUUUGCCUCUCAGAGAAACAAGUGAGGGCAUCUCCAGCAGCAGACGCUGUGGGGGUCGAGGCUCGGAGGUAUGGAGGUGCAGGCCAGCGACGGCAAGCCCGGGGGCCAAAAGCCUGGCCCUCAGGCAGGUCACUUCCCUCUCUCUGGCCCUCAGUUCCCUUGUCUAUAGAAUGAGGAUAAAACACCACCUCCCAAUGAGAUAAUGGCUGUGGAAAGUGCCAGGCAAACGCUAAUGUUCCCUAUUUAAUUUUCCAUGUUCUUUUUUUGAGGCCAGGGUUAUUUCUGUCCACACUUAGCUAUUUCCAGGCCCAGGGCUCGUCCUUUCCCACAGAGGACUCCCCCCUCCCAGGCCACGGUGGGAGGACGGGUAGGGGGCACGAGGCACAGAGACAGAAUCCGUCUUCCAGUGGGAGCAGCACGGACCCCCUGGAUGGGGCAGGGGCAGGCCGAGCCCUCCCCUCCCCUCCCCUCCGCUCCCCUCCCCUCCCCGGGGAGCCCAGGGGCACACACACACGGCUCCGGUUCCAAGCCCCCUUUUCCAGAUGAAGUGGGACCGAGUCCCAAAAGAUGUCAGGGGAAGGGGACAAGAAGCAUUUACCCACAUGAAUGAUCUCAUCGCUGCCUGCCGGGAAGCCGCCCCGCUGCUGCUGCCCUGCCCGCAGAUGAGCCUCCCCGUUGCCAUGGUGACAGCCCUGGUGGGCCCCGUGGCCCCUCCCUGGCCACCCUGCACCCACCUCGCCCCCUACUUCGUCACCUAUCCGGAGGGCUGACCCAGGGGCGUUGGCUCACGGAGGACAAGGUCGGCAGGCGAGGGACGGCUGGGGUGCAGGGUGUCACAGCUCCUCCGGCAAGCCAGCCCUCUGGGGUCCUCCUGGAACCAGAGGGGACCCGCAGGGGCCUCCAUCCUCCUACAGGCUCUCUGCUGCUGACCAAGAAGCUGGGCAGCCUCCCCCACCCCUCUGGAGAGAGCCCCAGACCCUGCCACCUCUCCCUGCUCUGAGACCCUCCCCGUAGGGCAGCCCUGGGGGGCCCUCCCUGGGGGACCCUCCCUGCAGGAUCCUCCUUUCCAGACCCUUCCCAGCUGUCCAGGGGCCUUGCCGGGGUGGGGGUGGGGUGUCAGGGAAAGCCUGUGGAUGUAGAGGGGGCGCAGGACGGGAGGCCAGGAGGGAGAGAGGGUUUGAGAUGGACGCUGUUUGCAGGAGGUGGGGGCCAACAGACCUCGCCUCAGCGUGUGGUGGCAGCUGCCCCAGGCCCUGGCGGGGCUGCUGAGGCUCUAUGGGUAUGUCCGCCCUUGGGGAGCAUGGGGUGGGGACCUGUGUCCUGCUCAGGACCCUGUCUCCGGGAGCCUAGGAAGCUUCGUGUGGGAGAAUCUUCAGACUGAACGGUCCUGGCCACUUGGGAUUGUAGACCCUGCCAAUUUGGGAACCUCAGGCAGGAAGGUCACCUGCAGAAUGUCUCCUGAGCUCCUGCAGCCUGCAGGGCCCUGGCACAUCCCCGGCCGACUCCUCGCCAGCCCGGCCCGCUGGGGGCAGGAGCCACCACGUCCAGGCGCCCAGGCCCCCCGGGGAGGACCGGCCUGGAGCACAGAGCAGGAGAGAGCACAGCAAGGACCCCAGAAAGAGGAGUUCGGACCCCAGCUCCGACCCGCACUGGCCCUGGGCUCCAGACCGACCCUCCGCUCCCUGCUUCCGCUGACGGGUCACCGCAGCCACAGGAGGAGACAGCCCGGACGACGGUCGGCCGGCGAGCAGGGAAACCACCACGCUGUGAAGUAUCAGCCAUGAAAGGCACGGAGGAGCCCUGACAGGUGCCACAGCAGGGCCAACCUGGAGACCGUGAGGCUGCGUGACAGCGUAUCUGUGGCCAGAUACAAAAGGCCACAGAGCUCGUGGUUCCGUUUCUGCAACGCGUCCAGAACAGGCGAAUCCGCGGAGACGGAGCUCACAGGAGAGGUUGCCAGAGGCUGCGGGGAGGGAAAGGGUGGCCGCUUGCCGGGCCGGGGUCGUCCUUUUCGGGGGUGUGAAGAUGCUCUGGAAUGAGACGGAGGUGGCCGCUGACUUGUUCACUUUAGCAUGGUUAAUUUUGUGUUAUGCGAAUUUCACCUCAAUAAAAAACCUACUGAAAAAGUCCCUAAGCAUCAGGGGUGACAAUAAGGGCACCUGGGGGGCUCAGUCGGUCCAACGUCCGACUUCGGCUCAGGUCGUGAUCUCGCCGUCCGUGAGUUCGAGCCCCGUGUCGGGCCCUGUGCUGACGGCUCGGAGCCUGGAGCCUGCUUCGGAAUCUGUGUCUCCCUCUCUCUCUGCCCCU